AAGGAAGUUAAUUUGUUAUAUUAAUUGUAUGCUGUUUUUAGUCUAAUUCAGCUCUUAGCAAAUAAUGGGAUGCUGCUUGUUAAACUAAUAUUUGUUAGGAACAAAUUUUGGAGUUAAUGGGCUCAACAGAGCACACUUUUAGUUCAAGGGUUUAAUAGCAAAAACAUGCUUAGUUUAGGCCUUAGGGGCUGCUUUUGUGGGUUUUACUGUCAAAUUUUAUGUUUAUAGUGCUUGUCAAUGUUAACCUUUUCUCAUAAAUAUUUGUACAUGUGCGUAGAAACAUAUGCACACACAUAGAUACAUGUGUAUACAUUACUAUACAUAAACACAUGCAUAUAUGGUGCGUUUUCAAUUUAAUUUUCUUUACCACUAAAUGAUCUAAUAUACGUUACCUUAUUCACAAUAGCUUCAUGGGAAGGAUGUGGUUU
rnacentral:misc_RNA from 1 species